CGGGAAAAGCUCAAAUUUAAAAUCUGGCGGUCUUUGGCCGUCCGAGUUGUAGUCUGGAGAAGUGCUUUCCGCGCUGGACCGUGUAUAAGUCUCUUGGAACAGAGCGUCAUAGAGGGUGAGAAUCCCGUCUUUGACACGGACUACCAGUGCUUUGUGAUGCGCUCUCAAA
rnacentral:rRNA from 1 species